rnacentral:rRNA from 1 species
AGUAACGCGUGAGGAACCUGCCUCAAAGAGGGGGACAACAGUUGGAAACGACUGCUAAUACCGCAUAAGCCCACAGCUCGGCAUCGAGCAGAGGGAAAGGAGUGAUCCGCUUUGAGAUGGCCUCGCGUCCGAUUAGCUAGUUGGUGAGGUAAUGGCCCACCAAGGCGACGAUCGGUAGCCGGACUGAGAGGUUGAACGGCCACAUUGGGACUGAGACACGGCCCAG